GACGAACGCUGGCGGCGUGCUUAACACAUGCAAGUCGAACGGAAAGGCCCUGCUUGCAGGGUACUCGAGUGGCGAACGGGUGAGUAACACGUGGGUGAUCUGCCCUGCACUUCGGGAUAAGCCUGGGAAACUGGGUCUAAUACCGGAUAGGAGCCAUUUUUAGUGUGAUGGUUGGAAAGUUUUUUCGGUGUAGGAUGAGCUCGCGGCCUAUCAGCUUGUUGGUGGGGUAAUGGCCUACCAAGGCGGCGACGGGUAGCCGGCCUGAGAGGGUGGACGGCCACAUUGGGACUGAGAUACGGCCCAGACUCCUACGGGAGGCAGCAGUGGGGAAUAUUGCACAAUGGGCGCAAGCCUGAUGCAGCGACGCCGCGUGGGGGAUGACGGCCUUCGGGUUGUAAACUCCUUUCGCUAGGGACGAAGCUUUUUGUGACGGUACCUA
rnacentral:rRNA from 1 species